rnacentral:rRNA from 1 species
GACAGAGGUGCCAAGCGUUAGGCGGAAUCACUGGGCUUAAAGCGUGAUGUAGGCGGGUUCCUAAGUACCUUGUGAAAUCCCCCGGCUCAAACCGGGGAACUGCUGGGUACUACUGGGUGCCUUGAGCCAACUAGGGGCUGCCGGAACAAGUGGUGGAGCGGUGAAAUGCGUAGAUAUCACUUGGAACGCCAACGGUAGAAAACAGGCAGCUGGGGUUGUGCUGACGC